GGAGGGCUGCGCCUGGCAGGCACAGUGGUGACAAGAUCCUCUGCCUCUGAGAGGGAUCCGGGAAGGUGCGAGACGGCGGGAAGAUGCGCCUCCCGGGAGGCAGAGGCAGGCCUGCAUUCUGACUGGGACCAAGCGCAGCGCAUGGAGGGGGCGGGAAACGGCCACCCACGGUGGGUUCUGGCACCUGGUCAAGGCUCCAAGAACCAAACCUGGAUCUACUGUGCGCAGACAAGAGCUGUACUAUCUCUCCAGGCCCAUCAGGGAGAACUCGAUGCCACUCAAUUUGAAAAGGGCACUGAAGGUGGUGAGAUGACCCAAAUCUCCGGAAGCUCCUCGCAGAGGAAGUGUGCAGGACCAGAGAGAGACCACAGCCAAGAGGGCACUGCCUGGUUUGAUCCCCGAGCACCACGGGGAGUGAUCCCUGAGCACUGCCAAGUGUGGCCACCUCCCUACCGAGGCUUCGCAUGCCAGCUACCAAACCUGCCAGCCUGUCUGUGCCGGUUCUGUCCUCCUGGUACCAGUCACCGCCAGCCUGGGCCUGGCAAGCAGAGGGCACUUGGUGAAUGACACUGAAGUGAGCAGCAGGCUGUGCCCUGCUCUCCUCCCGCCUAAGAUAUAUAUAGCGCCCACGGAGAAAUGAAUCCUGUGUCUGCAGCCCCUUCUGCAGAUCCAUCACUGAGCAGCGCUUGGUGCCGAUUUUGCAAACAGCUUGAGAUUACUGAAUUAAUUAGA